ACCACAAGAAGGUGCAAAACGGAGCCAGGCAUUCCUAGCCAGGGGCCUCAGGAGUGUGGCCCAUAUGCUGAGCUGCCAGUUUCUUUGCCGGCUUAAGAAGUCCCCAGCCAUCUCUUUGCCCAGAUCAUUUGUUGACUUGGAAACUUCUGGAGAAACUAGAUCUGGUCUAUACUUCAUUUAAUCGAUGUCAGAAUGCACACAAGUGUGUCUGAGAGAGAGAGAGACAGAGACGGUGAGAGACAGAGUGACAUCAUAAAUAUUGCUGCAGAAUAUUUCAGGUCACUGUGUAGGGAGGCUGGCCGAGAGAGGGAUACCAGGGAGCAUGAAGUGGGUCCUCCCCUAGUACUGGGGUCCCGGGCAUAGACUCCAUGACUCUUCCCGUUGCUCUGCUCUCCCUGGAGUGGGGUACUGGAGGCCACUGGGAGCCCCCCAUGACCAACCAUUCCCUGCCUUUUACGCUGCAUUGCAGCCCUGAGUACAGAGGUCUCCACCAGCUUGGCAGAAAGACACCACACUAUUGAUGCUUCUACCUUGUUUUCAGGGAAAUGUGUGUCUGGAUCAUCUCGUGGCCCGAAUGGGGAGAAAAGAGAAACUUUGAAAGUCAAGCAAAUACUUUGAUCGUGACCUUUCUGCAACACUGGCCCAUAUUCACCGCUUGUCAGCAGCACAAGAUGGCCAGAAGUCAUCCGUCACUGCCAGCCGUCACUCUGUCGCCUUUCCCAUCAGCCCCAUUACCCGGGAUCAGGAGAGAGUAGAGCCUGGCGUCGGAAGGAUCAUUAAACUUGCGGCUCCCAGGUAGCGCAGGUAGGCCAGGUGGCCUGUUGUUAUUUAUAAUAAAGGAAAGUGCAGCAGAAGUGCCUGCCGGUGGCCCAGGAGGCUGGCGGAGGACGCCUGAACAGUGUCAUCGCUGAAGGACAGUUAAAAGUGGACUCUCCCCCCUCACUGUAAGCAAAGAGGAUUUAUUGAACAUCUGUUCUGUACAUGGCUGGGAAGAUUGAUUAAUUUAAUUGCUCACACUUUGCUUAAGUAACAUUUGAAUACUUAAUGUCAAGUUUGAAGGAUAUUCCAACGUUUGCCCGCACACCUUCUCCUUCGGGUUGCAGAGGGAGAUCCGCAAGGGGGUGGGAGAGCGUGACC